UAGUCAUAUGCUUGUCUCAAAGAUUAAGCCAUGCAUGUCUAAGUACAUACCUUUGCACGGUGAAACCGCGAAUGGCUCAUUAAAUCAGUUAUGGUUCCUUAGAUCGUUCAUAUUACAUGGAUAACUGUGGUAAUUCUAGAGCUAAUACAUGCAAAAAGCUCCGACCGUAUGGGAAGAGCGCUUUUAUUAGACCAAAACCAAUGGGUCGCAAGGUCCUUUAUUUGGUGACUCUGGAUAACUUUGUGCUGAUCGCAUGGCCUCGAGCCGGCGACGUAUCUUUCAAGUGUCUGCCCUAUCAACUUUCGAUGGUAGGCGAUUUGCCUACCAUGGUUGUAACGGGUAACGGGGAACCAGGGUUCGAUUCCGGAGAGGGAGCAUGAGAAAUGGCUACCACAUCUACGGAAGGCAGCAGGCGCGCAAAUUACCCACUCCUAGAUCGGGGAGGUAGUGACGAAAAAUAACAAUACCGGACUCAAUGAGGCUCGGUAAUUGAAAUGAGUACAGUUUAAAACCCUUAACGAGGAUCUAUU
rnacentral:rRNA from 1 species